rnacentral:lncRNA from 1 species
UCUUCUCCAAUUCCUUUGUGCUUCUCUUCACGACGAUCCUCCCCCUCCAGACUCCAAUACGUGCUCUCUCCUUUCUCCUCUGAAAAAAAAAUCCCCUUUUUAUGCGUGCUGCCAGUCCCACUUUUCAAAAAGAAACCAUCUUGCUGAAAAGGAAAAUCCUACUUCCUUUUCUCCUUUCUUUCCUUUCUUUCUUUUUCUUUCCUUCUUCCUUUUCUUUCCUUCUU